rnacentral:lncRNA from 1 species
UAGAAUGUUGCAGCUGGCCUACUGAGGUCCCUGUGAAGGGACUUUGACAAAUGCCAUGUGGCUUUUCUGGGAACAAUCACCUCCUUGAUUCUUUUCUGGGAAGACUGCUGCUAAGAGCAAACAAAACCAUCCUGACUAGCCAAGUCUCUUUUCUGGAACUUCUAUAUCAUUUCCAAGGGGAGUGAUGAGAAGGCUAUCAACAGCCUGCUAUUUUCUGCACAAACAGAGCUAUAGCUAAUCCUUUUUAGUCAAACUCCAACCCCAGCAGACACCCUGCUUUGAUGCAUCAGGAAUUUCUUAACAUGGACACGAGGAAUGGGCUACAAAAGGUAAGGAUACCCUCUUAAUUCUAUGUACAUUUAUUUUUUAAUAGUUAAUUUUUAUUUUAUUUUGAGAUAAUUUCAGACUUGCAGAAGAGUUGCUAAAAUAGCAUAGAUCUCACAGACCCAUUACGCAGCUUCCCGUUAUGUAAGUAUCUUACAUUAUCAGAAGAUAUUGCAAAACUAAGACAUUAGCCACGGUACAGUACUAUUCCCUAAAGUAGAGAGCUUACUGAAUUUCCCUUGUUUUUACACUAAUGUUCUUUUCUGUUCUAGGAUCCAAUCUGGAAUCCCACAUUGCAUUUGCUUGUUCUGUCUCCAUAGACCUCCCUAAUCUUGAC